rnacentral:lncRNA from 1 species
GCUACUUGUUCAAGGGCUUGUCUACAUGGGGCCAUUAGGCAUAAGCUGGGAAGUCAAACUGAGCUACUUUGUUAGUCUGAAAUAAGAGUAAUCAUUGAAGGGGCUCAUCAGAUAAACUGUUCCUCAGGCAAGCCCUAAGUAAUAGUGUGGGAUAUGCAUGAAGUGUGAAAGAGAUGUAUAUACCACCUUACAGCUCCCUUCCCUUGCAACCCCUCUGUGGAACCAUCAGUGCUCUCCAAGGUUCCUCUAUUUUGUGAUGAGGUAACUGGAGCAAACAUGUAUCAGAGCUGUAGGCAGGUGAGAAUUCUUGUAUGGGUACUCAGAGACUAUAGGGAAAGUUUCACACCAUUCAGAAAAAAGGAAAAAAAUCCAUUACUAUUUUGAGCCUGGAUUUUUUGUUCAUAAAAUAUGAAGGGCCUUAAUUUUUGCAGUUACAGUACUCCCUUGUGCCAAGGAAAAGUGCUGCAUCCUCAACUACUGGAGAAAUACUUCAGUUAAGAAAAAUCAAAUCUGAUACCAAGAGAUUUAUGUUCUCUUCACCUGUAAGGAAUCGGUGAAGCAGUGUGGCCUUUCCUGGCACUGGUGCAGAGUAGCCAAAAUCACUGUAUGGUCUUUCUUCUCCUCCUGACAUCUCCCCAAGGCCUCCUCAGUCCUUGACGUGCCUGUCAUCCAACGCACUCAACAACUGACAUGCCUGGAGGAUGCAGCCGCCCCUGUUGACAACAGCUUUGUUUCCCAGGUGAUGGAUGGCUUUGUGGCCCAAGCCCUGCCAUUGUCCGCUGCCUGUGGCCUUACUUUAGUGAUUCUUAUCUUGGUCCUGGGCGUCCACUCCCUGCAGGAAAGUGGCUGAGUGACUGAGAAAAGCAAUUAAGGAAAAGGAUGGGAACCCCUUGGACUUCUGGUUGUAAGCAGGGAUAGCUGCAAGAAGCACUAGUAAGCUGGAGGACAGAAGGAGAGGAACACCCGGCAUCUUGCCUGGGUGUUCACAGCAGUUACCAUCCAUGUCCUGUUUGGAAGGGAGAACAGGUCAGCGAAAUGCUGGAAACAAGAAAGCCCUUUUGGAUCCCUCUCCACCAGAAGAUGGCACCAGGUAGGCUGGAGAGGGCUUUGGGUAGGGACUCUUCUGGCAUGUGACUUUGACGAUGCUCUAUGAACUGUGAAAAUUUUCUCAGUCAUUUCACAUUAUCCUUGUCUGAACUCAGUGUGGUUUAUGGAGUGGUUGGGGUCAGGCUGUCGUGAGCUGUGGCAUUUGGCAUUGGGCUGUGCUGGUGUUGAGCUUUGACAUGGUGUGAAUCAGUAGUAAUGAGGACAUGUGGUGGGUGUGGGUUUAAGAUGCCUUUUUUCUCAGUCUUU